rnacentral:rRNA from 1 species
AUUGAACGCUGGCGGCAGGCCUAACACAUGCAAGUCGAGCGGAACGGCGGACGGGUGAGUAAGUCCUAGGAAUCGGCCUGGUAGUGGGGGAGAGCUUCCGAAAACGAACGUUAGUACCGCAUGUUCUCUGUUGAGUCUAGCUGGGAUUGGCUAGUUGGUGGGGUAAGGGCCUACCGAGGCGACGAUCCGUAACUGGUCUGAGAGGAUGAUUAGUCACACUGGGACUGAGACACGGUCCAGACUCCUACGGUAGGCAGCAGUGGGGAAUAUUGGACAAUGGGCGAAAGCCUGAUGCAGCCAUGCCGCGUGUGUGAAGAAGGUCUUCGGAUUGUAAAGCACUUUAAGUUGGGAGGCGUUACCAACAGAAGAAGCACCGGCUAACUCCGUGCCAGCAGCCGCGGUAAUAC